UUCCGGUUGAUCCUGCCGGAGGCCAUUGCUAUUGGAGUUCGAUUUAGCCAUGCUAGUUGCACGAGUUUAGACUCGUGGCGGAAAGCUCAGUAACACGUGGUCAAACUACCCUAUAGACCAGGAUAACCUCGGGAAACUGAGGCUAAUCCUAGAUAACGCUCCCCUGCUGGAACUGCAGGGAGCCGGAAACGCUCCGGCGCUAUAGGAUGUGACUGCGGCCGAUUAGGUAGACGGUGGGGUAACGGCCCACCGUGCCGAUAAUCGGUACGGGUUGUGAGAGCAAGAGCCCGGAGAUGGAUUCUGAGACAAGAAUCCAGGCCCUACGGGGCGCAGCAGGCGCGAAAACUUUACACUGCACGACAGUGCGAUAAGGGAACUCCAAGUGCGAGGGCAUAACGUCCUCGCUUUUGUGUAUCGUAAGAUGGUACACGAAUAAGGGCUGGGCAAGACCGGUGCCAGCCGCCGCGGUAAUACCGGCAGCCCGAGUGAUGGCCAAUUUUAUUGGGCCUAAAGCGUCCGUAGCCGGCCAGACAGGUCCGUCGGGAAAUCUGCUCGCUUAACGAGCAGGCGUCCGACGGAAACCCGCUGGCUUGGGACCAGAAGACUCGAGGGGUACGUCUGGGGUAGGAGUGAAAUCCUGUAAUCCUAGACGGACCGCCGAUCGCGAAAGCACCUCGAGAGGAUGGAUCCGACGGUGAGGGACGAAAGCUAGGGUCACGAACCGGAUUAGAUACCCGGGUAGUCCUAGCUGUAAACGAUGCUCGCUAGGUGUGGCACAGGCUACGAGCCUGUGCUGUGCCGUAGGGAAGCCGAGAAGCGAGCCGCCUGGGAAGUACGUCCGCAAGGAUGAAACUUAAAGGAAUUGGCGGGGGAGCACUACAACCGGAGGAGCCUGCGGUUUAAUUGGAUUCAACGCCGGA
rnacentral:rRNA from 1 species